UUCCUUUAGAAAAUAUUUAAAGGUAAUACCUGCUCAAUGUUAAUUUUAUUAAAUGGCUGCGGUAUCUUAACUGCACUAAGGUAGCAUAAUUAAUUGUCUUUUAAAUGGUGACUUGUUUGAAUGGUUUUAUGGGAAAAAGAUUUUCUUAAAAUUAAUUAGAAUUUAUAAUUCAAGGUUAAAAUACCUGAAUUGAUAAGAAAGACGAGAAGACCCUGUUGAGUUUAAUAAUUAUAUUUUUUUUAUUUGAAUGGGAAAUUUAAUUUCUAUUUGAAAUUUUUAUGAUCCUAAAUAUUAAAUUAUUUGGAAGAAGGAUAAAAUUACCACAGGGAUAACAGGACUAUAUUUAUUGAGAGUUCUUAUCGAAAUAAAUGUUUGUUACCUCGAUGUUGAAUCGAAAUACUCUUUUUGGUGCAGUAGUCAAAAAAGUGGGUCUGUUCGACCUUUAAAAUUU
rnacentral:rRNA from 1 species